rnacentral:rRNA from 1 species
CGUUAAGGAACUCGGCAAAUUGACCCCGUAACUUAGGGAUAAGGGGUGCCUUUAGAGGUGGAGGGACUUGCUCCCCGAGCUUUUGAAGGUUGCAACAAAGAGGCUGGUGCGACUGUUUAACAAAAACACAGCUCUAUGCUAACUCGCAAGAGGAUGUAUAUGGAGUGACACGUGACCAAUGCCAAAAGGUCAAGGGGAGAGGUUAGCGCAAGCGAAGCUUUGAACUGAAGCCCUGGUGAAUGUCGGCCGUAACUAUAACGGUCCUAAGGUAGCGAAAUUCCUUGUCGGGUAAGUUCCGACCUGCACGAAUCGUGUAACGAUGCCAGCACUGUCUCAACGUGGAUCUCGGCGAAGUUGUAAUUCCGGUGAAAAUGCCGGAUACCUGCGGAAGGACGGAAAGACCCCAUGAACCUUUACUGUAAUCUGAUAUUGGUAUUUGAUUGCUCUUGUGUAGCAUAGGUGGGAGGCUGCGAAACCGCUACGCCAGUACCGGUGGAGCCACAGGUGAAAUACCACCCUGGUGCAAUUAGAUAUCUAACGAUGUCCCGUGAAUCCGGGUUUCGGACCGUGUCAGAGGGUCAGUUUGACUGGGGCGGUUUCCUCCUAAAUUGUAACGGAGGAGCCCGAAGGUACACUCAGCACGGUUGGCAAUCGUGUGUAGAGCGUAAGGGUAGAAGUGUGCUUUACUGUAAGACCGACAGGUCGAGCAGUUGCGAAAGCAGGGCCUAGUGAUCCAGCGAUGGAAUGUGGAAUCGUCGUUGCUCAACGGAUAAAAGGUACUCUGGGGAUAACAGGCUGAUAGCGCCCAAGCGUCCAUAGCGACGGCGCUGUUUGGCACCUCGAUGUCGACUCAUCACAUCCUGGGGCUGUAGAAGGUCCCAAGGGUUCGGCUGUUCGCCGAUUAAAGUGGUACGCGAGUUGGGUUCAGAACGUCGUGAGACAGUUCGGUCCUUAUCCUCCGCAGGCGCAGGAUAUUUGAUGGGAUCAUUCCUUAGUACGAGAGGACCGGGAAUGACUGACCUCUGGUGUUCCGGUUGUGGCGUCAGCUGCAUUGCCGGGUAGCUAUGUCGGGAACGGAUAAGCGCUGAAAGCAUCUAAGCGCCAAGCCCACCCAAAGACGAGAUAUCCCUUCCCGUAAGGGACUGAAGGCCGGUCGAAGACUACGACCUCGAUAGGACGGAAAUGUAAGUGCAGCAAUGUAUUCAGUUUACCGUUACUAAUCGGCCGUGAGGCUUAACCAC